rnacentral:rRNA from 1 species
UAUGUGAUCGUCUCUCGCAUAUCAAUAAGCGGAGGAAAAGAAACUAACAAGGAUUCCCCUAGUAACGGACGAGUGAAGCGGGAAGAGCUCAAAUUUGAAAUCUUAAAGGGUUUCCCUUUACGAAUUGUAGUUUAAAGAAGUGUUUUCUGUUGAGGUUUUGGUAAAAGUUCUUUGGAAUAGGACAUCAUAGAGGGUGAGAAUCCCGUAUUUGACCUUUACUUUCAACUUUGUGAUACACUUUCAAAGAGUCGGAUUGUUUGGGAAUGCAGUCCAAAAUGGGUGGUAAAUUUCAUCUAAAGCUAAAUAUUGGCGAGAGACCGAUAGCGAACAAGUACCGUGAGGGAAAGAUGAAAAGAACUUUGAAAAGAGAGUUAAACAGUACGUGAAAUUGUCAAAAGGGAAGCGUUCGACACCAGUGUUGUUUUUCUGAAAAUCAAUUAAAGAACUGUUUAUGCUAAGUUGUUUAGACUUUAUCAGCUAUCUGCUUAGUUUUGAGCUUUUCUUUAAUGCACUUUUCAGUUAACAAGUCAACAUCAAUUUCUUUUGCUGUAAAAAAGCUUGAGGAAGGUGGCUUGAGAUUCGUCUUAAGUGUUUAUAGCCUCUUGCCUAUGCAGUCGGAGAGAUUGAGGUCUGCAGCGUAGAUCCUUCGGGGCUAAAUGCAUUUGUGCUAAGUUAUAGCAUUUUAUAGACAACUUGUUGACUAUGAUUUGUCUUGUAGCUUACUCGCUUAUGUUAUUUUACCUACGCUUAGGAUGUUGAAGACUCUACAGAGAUA